rnacentral:lncRNA from 10 species
CUUUGCAUCCUCCUUGAAUUCAAAGUCCUACCCAUAGAAAAUCUGGUUAGCCCAGAUUAAGUCACAUGUCCAUCCCUUGUCUGGUCCAGUUUGUGGAAGAGAUCUCUGCUUCCAUAGUGCAUAGAGAACAAUAGCUCCAACCAAGAGUAUACAUGCUGGAGGCUUUCCCAAAAGGGAGAAUAGAAUAUUGUUAGGAAGAGGAGAGUCAGAGGCCCUGAGGGCAGGAACUUUAUUUUUGUAUUCUAAUACUCCAAAAAGGACUUUGCACACAGCCUGUACAAAAUAAUUUUUAUGAAAGAUGAUAUUGACCAACUGUUCCAUUUUCAGUGAAUUAUGUCCUAUGAGAAUCACCUGCAUGUUUUAUUUAGUUUAAUAUGGGAUGAAUCAAAGGAGGGUGACUGACAUUUACUGCAUAUUUACUGUGUGCUAGGUACCAUACAAUUUUCUCUUGUAAUAAUAAUGAUAAUAACAACAAAUGGCAUUUAUUUAGCUUUAUUAUUAUUAUAACCUAUGCAUGAAACUCAUUGAUUUAGAUACAUUAGUUCAUUUAAUCCCUGUAAGAAUCAUUCAAGAUAGAUCUUAUUGUCUUUUUUCUUUUCUUGCAGAUAUGAGUACUAUUGGCUAGAGAAGUUUAGUAACUUUCCUGAAGUUUUACAGAAGAUAAGUAUAGAGUGGGAACUCAAAACUAUUUCUGUCUGAUUCCAAAGCCCUUUUAAUAUUUUGUAUUGCUUAAGUAGCAAGAAUAGAGUUUGUAAGAACAUACAAUAUCAAUAAAUGUUUCAUGUCCUUCAUCAUUAACUACUCCAGUUAGUAUCAACCGGGAACUUACUUGGAAUGUACAUUCUCUGCCCCCUCAACAGACCUACUGAAUCAAAAACUCUGGAGGUCAGGCCCAGAAAUCUGUCUUUUGGCAUACUUUCCAGAUUGCUGGUGAGGAGGAUGGCAUAAAGGCUGACCUUGGAGAUGGCAGCUCCUUGAUCAUGGCGGGUGAAGCAGCUGCUUUGGAAGUGCAUUUCUGCGGUAGGAUCUUGGGAGUUAUUCCUGGACCCUCUGUGCAAAGUUUACUAAGUUAGCUGUCCUAAUUACUCUGUAAGCCUUUUUUAAAUACCUGGGAACUGUAGCAAUCCAUUUUCAUUUAAAUAAGUCAAUAUGAAUUUUAUCCUUUAUAACUGAGCCUUAACUUACACAUUGGUUUCUCCCAGUUACAACGUUCAGUGUUGAAAUUCCAUGGCACAACUUCAUUUUUUGCAUCUUUUCUGUAUCUUGUGUUGGCCACAUGCCACUUCCCUCCUUAAAUAUUUCCUGAUUUCCCUAGCUAAUGUGCACUCUCUUUUCUUUGAUCCACUAAGUUUUUGUUGUUUGUUUGUUUGAUGGUUUUUGUCAUAUUCUGCUUUGAUUUCAAGUUACUCUUACUUUAUUCAAAUUCAAGCUCUUUGAG